UGAGGAAUUGUGCGCAAUGGGCGAAAGCCUGACGACGCGACGCCGCGUGGAGGAUGAAGGUCUUCGGAUCGUAAACUCCUGUCUAGUGGGACGAAAUCCUGGGAGGUGAACAUCCUUCCCGGUUGACGGUACCGCUGGAGGAAGCCCCGGCUAACUCCGUG
rnacentral:rRNA from 1 species